AUGGACUUGAGGAUACUUUCCCCAAAUUAUCGACUAUGACUAUACAAUGCGCAAAUGUAAUCCACCAGGAUUCCAAGCCAGAAAUCUGAUCCAU
rnacentral:snoRNA from 1 species